rnacentral:rRNA from 1 species
CCUACGGGGGGCAGCAGUGGGGAAUAUUGCACAAUGGGGGAAACCCUGAUGCAGCAACGCCGCGUGAAGGAAGACGGUUUUCGGAUUGUAAACUUCUGUUCUUAGUGAAGAAGAAUGACGGUAGCUAAGGAGCAAGCCACGGCUAACUACGUGCCAGCAGCCGCGGUAAUACGUAGGUGGCAAGCGUUGUCCGGAAUUACUGGGUGUAAAGGGCGUGUAGCCGGGCUGACAAGUCAGAUGUGAAAUCCGGGGGCUCAACCCCCGAACUGCAUUUGAAACUGUUGGUCUUGAGUAUCGGAGAGGCA